rnacentral:rRNA from 1 species
GACGUAGGGCGCGAGCGUUGUCCGGAUUUAUUGGGCGUAAAGAGCUCGUAGGCGGCUUGUCGCGUCGACCGUGAAAACUUGGGGCUCAACCCCAAGCCUGCAUUCGAUACGGGCAGGCUAGAGUUCGGUAGGGGAGACUGGAAUUCCUGGUGUAGCGGUGAAAUGCGCAGAUAUCAGGAGGAACACCGGUGGCGAAGGCGGGUCUCUGGGCCGAUACUGACGCUGAGGAGCGAAAGCGUGGGGAGCGAACAGG